AUAACGACUCUCGGCAACGGAUAUCUAGGCUCUUGCAUCGAUGAAGAACGUAGCGAAAUGCGAUACUUGGUGUGAAUUGCAGAAUCCCGUGAACCAUCGAGUCUUUGAACGCAAGUUGCGCCCGAAGCCUUCUGGCCGAGGGCACGCCUGCCUGGGUGUCACAC
rnacentral:rRNA from 1 species